rnacentral:rRNA from 1 species
GCAGCACGGGAGCAAUCCUGGUGGCGAGUGGCGAACGGGUGAGUAAUGUAUCGGAACGUGCCCAGUCGUGGGGGAUAACGUAGCGAAAGCUACGCUAAUACCGCAUACGAUCUAUGGAUGAAAGCGGGGGACCGCAAGGCCUCGCGCGAUUGGAGCGGCCGAUAUCAGAUUAGGUAGUUGGUGGGGUAAAGGCCUACCAAGCCGACGAUCUGUAGCUGGUCUGAGAGGACGACCAGCCACACUGGGACUGAGACACGGCCCAGACUCCUACGGGAGGCAGCAGUGGGGAAUUUUGGACAAUGGUAGCAAGCCUGAUCCAGCAAUGCCGCGUGCAGGAUGAAGGCCUUCGGGUUGUAAACUGCUUUUGUACGGAGCGAAAAGGCUUCCACUAAUACUGGAGGCUCAUGACGGUACCGUAAGAAUAAGCACCGGCUAACUACGUGCCAGCAGCCGCGGUAAUACGUAGGGUGCAAGCGUUAAUCGGAAUUACUGGGCGUAAAGCGUGCGCAGGCGGUCUUGUAAGACAGGUGUGAAAUCCCCGGGCUUAACCUGGGAACUGCACUUGUGACUGCAAGGCUGGAGUACGGCAGAGGGGGAUGGAAUUCCGCGUGUAGCAGUGAAAUGCGUAGAUAUGCGGAGGAACACCGAUGGCGAAGGCAAUCCCUCUGGGCCUGUACUGACGCUCAUGCACGAAAGCGUGGGGAGCAAACAGGAUUAGAUACCUCUGGUAGUCCACGCUCUAAACGAUGUCAACUGGUUGUUGGGUCUUCACUGACUCAGUAACGAAGCUAACGCGUGAAGUU